UGGGGAAUUUUGGACAAUGGGGGAAACCCUGAUCCAGCCAUCCCGCGUGUGCGAUGAAGGCCUUCGGGUUGUAAAGCACUUUUGGCAGGAAAGAAACGUCGCGGGUUAAUACCCCGCGAAACUGACGGUACCUGCAGAAUAAGCACCGGCUAACUACGUGCCAGCAGCCGCGGUAAUACGUAGGGUGCAAGCGUUAAUCGGAAUUACUGGGCGUAAAGCGUGCGCAGGCGGUUCGGAAAGAAAGAUGUGAAAUCCCAGAGCUUAACUUUGGAACUGCAUUUUUAACUACCGGGCUAGAGUGUGUCAGAGGGAGGUGGAAUUCCGCGUGUAGCAGUGAAAUGCGUAGAUAUGCGGAGGAACACCGAUGGCGAAGGCAGCCUCCUGGGAUAACACUGACGCUCAUGCACGAAAAGCGUGGGGAGCAAAACAGGAUUAGAUACCCUGGUAGUCCACGCCCUAAAACGAUGUCAACUAGCUGUUGGGGGCCUUCGGGCCUUGGUAGCGCAGCUAACGCGUGAAGUUGACCGCCUGGGGAGUACGGUCGC
rnacentral:rRNA from 1 species